rnacentral:misc_RNA from 1 species
CCGAGUUAUCUGUAACUCCAGAAAAACCCUCUGUGAACCUUACCUCAGUUGCCUCGGCGUGAGCCGCGGUUACCCUGUAGCUACCCUGUAGCAAGUUACCCGGGAGCUACCCUGUAACAAGCUACCCGGUAGCUACCCGGUAGCGCGCUGACGGCCCGCCGGAGGAAUUCGAAACUCUAGUUUAUCUGUCGUGGAUUUCUGAAUGCUUCGGCUGAAAUUAGUUA